rnacentral:rRNA from 1 species
GCGGCAGACGGGUGAGUAACACGUGGGUAAUCUGCCCUGUACUCUGGGAUAAGCCUGGGAAACUGGGUCUAAUACCGGAUAUGACCUUUCACCGCAUGGUGGGGGGUGGAAAGUUCCGGCGGUAUGGGAUGAACCCGCGGCCUAUCAGCUUGUUGGUGGGGUAAUGGCCUACCAAGGCGACGACGGGUAGCCGGCCUGAGAGGGUGACCGGCCACACUGGGACUGAGACACGGCCCAGACUCCUACGGGAGGCAGCAGUGGGGAAUAUUGGACAAUGGGGGGAGCCCUGAUCCAGCCAUGCCGCGUGUGUGAAGAAGGCCUUAUGGUUGUAAAGCACUUUAAGCGAGGAGGAGGCUCUUUUGGUUAAUACCCAAGAUGAGUGGACGUUACUCGCAGAAUAAGCACCGGCUAACUCUGUGCCAGCAGCCGCGGUAAUACAGAGGGUGCGAGCGUUAAUCGGAUUUACUGGGCGUAAAGCGUGCGUAGGCGGCUUUU